rnacentral:tRNA from 1 species
GGGUCGGUAUGUCUAGUUGGCGAUGACACUUGACUGUAAAUCAAGCACGUAAGAUACACCGUAGGUUCGACUCCUACCCGGCCCACCA